rnacentral:rRNA from 1 species
UACGAAGGGGGCUAGCGUUGCUCGGAAUCACUGGGCGUAAAGGGUGCGUAGGCGGGUCUUUAAGUCAGGGGUGAAAUCCUGGAGCUCAACUCCAGAACUGCCUUUGAUACUGAGGAUCUUGAGUUCGGGAGAGGUGAGUGGAACUGCGAGUGUAGAGGUGAAAUUCGUAGAUAUUCGCAAAGAACACCAGUGGCGAAGGCGGCUCACUGGCCCGGUACUGACGCUGAGGUGCGAAAGCGUGGGGAGCA